GUUGGACUCCAUUUUUCAUCCCGAACCUCACUGUGGGCUCAAUAUAGAUCGAAUCUUGAGGCAUCAAAUUCUAACAGGUUGUAUCUUCCAUUAUUCUUCUCUCAUGUGGAUCUUUGAUUUUCCUUCUUUUUGAAUGGCAUCAUGGCCAUCAACACUGGUCACUGGCCAUAGCCACUUUUAAGGGCUAUGCCUUUUUCCCCUUGCUUUAUUCCACAAGCAGGCACGGGCACGUGCUCCC
rnacentral:lncRNA from 1 species